rnacentral:rRNA from 1 species
CGCCAGACUCCUACGGGAGGCAGCAGUGAGGAAUAUUGGUCAAUGGGCGGAAGCCUGAACCAGCCAAGUCGCGUGAGGGAAGAAGGCCCUGCGGGUCGCAGACCUCUUUGGACGGGGAGCAAGGCCGCCGACGUGUCGGCGGAAGGAGAGUACCCGUAGAACAAGCAUCGGCUAACUCCGUGCCAGCAGCCGCGGUAAUACGGAGGAUGCGAGCGUUAUCCGGAUUUACUGGGUGUAAAGGGUGCGCAGGUGGCAGGGCAAGUCAGAUGUGAAAGCCCGGGGCUCAACCCCGGUAUUGCAUUUGAAACUGUCCGGCUAGAGUGCAGGAGAGGUAAGCGGAAUUCCUAGUGUAGCGGUGAAAUGCGUAGAUAUUAGGAGGAACACCAGUGGCGAAGGCGGCUUACUGGACUGUAACUGACACUGAGGCACGAAAGCGUGGGGAGCAAACAGGAUUAGAUACCCGCGUAC